AAACUGGAGAGUUUGAUCCUGGCUCAGAACAAACGCUGGCGGCGUGCCUAACACAUGCAAGUCGUACGAGAAAAUUGGCUUCGGCCGAUGAGUAAAGUGGCGCACGGGUGAGUAACGCGUGGAUAAUCUGCCCCUCAGUUGGGAAUAACUCAUCGAAAGGUGAGCUAAUACCGAAUAAUACUGUGAGACCCCGGUCGAUCAGUCAAAGGAAGCCUCUGCUUGCAAGCUUUUGCUGAAGGAUGAGUCCGCGUACCAUUAGCUUGUUGGUAGGGUAAUGGCCUACCAAGGCG
rnacentral:rRNA from 1 species